CUCUGCUGGACUUUAAUAAGUGAGUCCAGGAUACUGGAGGUAGAAAAGAAGAAAAGAACUGAAAAUAAUACGGAUGUUUUGUGAGGACAGAGGUGUUGUACUGCUUGGAUAAAACAGUGUCUCAGCAGAUGUAUGGAAUAGAGAAAGCAGAUGUAUAGAAUGGAGAAACCAGACGGGAUGUGACCAAG